GGCUUAUUUGACUCAACGCGGGAAACCUCACCCGGUCUGGACACUGCAAGGAUUGACAGAUUGAGAGCUCUUUCUUGAUUCGGUGAGUGGUGGUGCAUGGCCGUUCUUAGUUGGUGGAGCGAUUUGUCUGGUCAAUUCCGAUAACGAACGAGACUCUAGCCUGCUAAAUAGUUCGGGGACCCCCACAAAGGGGCCCCGCUUUAACUUCUUAGAGGGACAGGUG
rnacentral:rRNA from 1 species